AUGAUAAUUCGCCAGAAGAUGGAGAGCUGCAGCAGUUACAGAGCGUGAAAGCUCAAAAUGCGGGAAACUUCCACAUUCCAUUUUUCAUUCACAACCUGGAAGGAGAAUCAAACAACAUACAAGUGUCAAACUACAAACGGC